AUGCUGACAAUUGAUGACUUUGAAGAGGCCUGGAAGUAUCUAAUAGAUAAAUACAACUUGAAGUCACAUGAGUACAUGACUAAUAUAUAUGAGACGCGCCACAAGUGGGCAAAGCCGUACUUCAAGGGUGUGUUUUGUGCUAAAAUGACUAGCACUCAGCGGAGUGAAGGCGCGAACCAUAUGUUGAAGAACUAUAUACCUCCAGGAUGUCCUAUGCAUCUGUUUGUGAGAAAAUACAUGGUGCUGCAGUUCGACAGGGAAGCGGAGGAAAAUUAUGAGGAGAAGAGGACCCUAAUUGGGCGACCAUUGUUCCGAGCAAACAUGGCCACUGAAAGGCAUGCUGGCAAGAUAUACACUAGGGCAAUGUUUGAGCAGUUUGGCCACAUCAUAUAUGAAUGCGGUGCUUACCAGGUGGAAGAGGUUGAGAAAGGGAAAACAUAUGUGGCAAUACAUACGGACGCAACAAGGAGAGAGAGAUGGUGUAGGGUUUCAUACAAAGUGACCGUCAUAGACGGUGGUGAUGAAUUUGAUUGUGAGUGCGGGCAAUUCUCCCACAUGGGGAUGCUGUGCAGCCAUGUUCUAAAGGUUCUCGACUUCAUCCGAGUAAUGGAGAUACCACAUAAGCAUAUUGUGAAGCGGUGGACAAGAGACGCACGGGGCAUCCUGCCUCCGCAUCUUAGUCAAUACCAGAGGGACAAUGCUAGCAGCAACAACCCAUUCAGUUACAGGCAUUUCAACAUGUACAUGCAGGCCAUGGAGCUUGUAAGAAUGGGGGAUGCAAGUGUACAAGCAUACGAGCGCCUCGUUGGACUGUUUAAGCAUUGUGCUGAAGAAAUGAAACCAUUUGCGGAGAUUAGAGACGGUCUUGGCCUGGAGGACCGCAUGGCUGAAAAUGGUACUGCUGUGAUCCAAACAAAUGGACAUGGGGAACAGUUGGGGGUGAAUGGAAAAAUGACCGCAACUUUGCUUGGGGUGAACCAAACAAAUGGACAUGCGGAGGAGUCGGGGGUGAAUGGAAAAAUGACUGCAGCUAGGCUGGACGAUGAAAUCAACUCAUGUAAUGAAUCGGGGAAUGUCUUGGCGGGUUUACUGUCAUCGCUGGAAUUUCCACCUGGAUAG
rnacentral:rRNA from 1 species